rnacentral:miRNA from 1 species
CACUAGGGGGAGAAGUUUCUGU